GAUGAAGAACGUAGCGAAAUGCGAUAAGUAAUGUGAAUUGCAGAAUUCCGUGAAUCAUCGAGUUUUUGAACGCAUAUUGCGCCCUCUGGUAUUCCGGGGGGCAUGCCUGUUCGAGCGUCAUUAAAUAACCCUCAAGCAUAGCUUGGUGUUGGGCUUUUUUACGUCCUUGACUGGGAUGGGCCUAAAAAUUAGUGGCGAUGGCUUUUUUACUUUCAAGCGUAGUAAAUCUCGUCUUGCUAAAGAGGAAAAAGAUUUUUUUUCUGCCAAAAAUUUUAACAUUUAAAGUUGACCUCGGAUCAGGUAGGAUUACCCGCUGAACUUAAGCAUAUCAAUAAGCGGAGGA
rnacentral:misc_RNA from 1 species